rnacentral:rRNA from 1 species
UAUACGACCGUACCGCAAACCGACACUGGUGCGCGAGAUGAGUAUUCUAAGGCGCUUGAGAGAACUCAGGAGAAGGAACUCGGCAAAUUGACACCGUAACUUCGGAAGAAGGUGUGCCCUAUUAGUGUGUAGUGAACAACGAAGCAUGAAUGGGUUGCAAAAAAUCGGUGGCUGCGACUGUUUAUUAAAAACACAGCACUCUGCAAACACGAAAGUGGACGUAUAGGGUGUGACGCCUGCCCGGUGCUGGAAGAUUAAAUGAUGGGGUGCAAGCUCUUGAUUGAAGUCCCAGUAAACGGCGGCCGUAACUAUAACGGUCCUAAGGUAGCGAAAUUCCUUGUCGGGUAAGUUCCGACCUGCACGAAUGGCGUAACGAUGGCCACACUGUCUCCUCCUGAGACUCAGCGAAGUUGAAAUGUUUGUGAUGAUGCAAUCUCCCCGCGGAAAGACGGAAAGACCCCAUGAACCUUUACUGUAGCUUUGUAUUGGACUUUGAACAGAUCUGUGUAGGAUAGGUGGGAGGCUUUGAAGCAGGGUCGCUAGAUCUUGUGGAGCCAACGUUGAAAUACCACCCUGGUGUGUUUGAGGUUCUAACCUAGGUCCAUUAUCUGGAUCGGGGACAGUGCAUGGUAGGCAGUUUGACUGGGGCGGUCUCCUCCCAAAGCGUAACGGAGGAGUUCGAAGGUACGCUAGUUACGGUCGGACAUCGUGACGAUAGUGCAAUGGCAUAAGCGUGCUUAACUGCGAGACUGACAAGUCGAGCAGAUGCGAAAGCAGGACAUAGUGAUCCGGUGGUUCUGUAUGGAAGGGCCAUCGCUCAACGGAUAAAAGGUACUCUGGGGAUAACAGGCUGAUACCGCCCAAGAGUUCAUAUCGACGGCGGUGUUUGGCACCUCGAUGUCGGCUCAUCUCAUCCUGGGGCUGUAGCCGGUCCCAAGGGUAUGGCUGUUCGCCAUUUAAAGAGGUACGUGAGCUGGGUUUAAAACGUCGUGAGACAGUUUGGUCCCUAUCUUCCGUGGGCGCUGCAGAUUUGAGGAAGCCUGCUCCUAGUACGAGAGGACCGGAGUGGACACACCUCUGGUGUAUCGGUUGUCACGCCAGUGGCAUUGCCGAGUAGCUAAGUGUGGAAGAGAUAACCGCUGAAAGCAUCUAAGCGGGAAACUCGUUUCAAGAUGAGAUCUGCCGGGGCCUUGAGCCCCCUAAAGAGUCGUUCAAGACCAGGACGUUGAUAGGUCAGGUGUGGAAGUG